UCAAAGGAAUUGACGGGGGCCCGCACAAGCGGAGGAACAUGUGGUUUAAUUCGAUGAUACGCGAGGAACCUUACCAGAGCUUAAAUGUAGAUUGAUCGGUGCAGAGGUGCAUUUUUCCUUCGGGACAAUUUACAAGGUGCUGCAUGGUUGUCGUCAGCUCGUGCCGUGAGGUGUCGGGUUAAGUCCCAUAACGAGCGCAACCCCUAUCGUUAGUUGCUAGCAGGUAAUGCUGAGGACUCUAGCGAGACUGCCGGUGUAAACCGUGAGGAAGGUGGGGAUGACGUCAAAUCAGCACGGCCCUUAUGUUCUGGGCUACACACGUGUUACAAUGGAUGGUACAAAGAGCAGCUACCUAGUGAUAGGAUGCGAAUCUUCAAAGCCAUUCCCAGUUCGGAUUGGAGUCUGCAACUCGACUCCAUGAAGUUGGAUUCGCUAGUAAUCGUAGAUCAGCAACGCUACGGUGAAUACGUUCCCGGGCCUUGUACACACCGCCCGUCAAGCCAUGGAAGUCGGAAGUGCCUGAAGACUGUUGCCGCAAGGGACGGUUUAGGGUAAAGCUGAUAACUGGGGCUAAGUCGUAACAAGGUAACCGUA
rnacentral:rRNA from 1 species